UAUAUACACAGGGGGUACUGGUACCCAGGCUAUAUACACAGGGGGUACUGGUACCCAGGCUAUAUACACAGGGGGUACUGGUACCCAGGCUAUAUACACAGGGGGUACCGGUACCCAGGCUAUAUACACAGGGGGUAACGGUACCCAGGCUAUAUACACAGGGGGUACCGGUACCCAGGCUAUAUACACAGGGGGUAACGGUACCCAGGCUAUAUACACAGGGGGUACCGGUACCCAGGCUAUAUACACAGGGGGUAACGGUACCCAGGCUAUAUACACAGGGGGUACCGGUACCCAGGCUAUAUACACAGGGGGUAACGGUACCCAGGCUAUAUACACAGGGGGUAACGGUACCCAGGCUAUAUACACAGGGGGUAACGGUACCCAGGCUAUAUACACAGGGGGUAACGGUACCCAGGCUAUAUACACAGGGGGUAACGGUACCCAGGCUAUAUACACAGGGGGUAACGGUACCCAGGCUAUAUACACAGGGGGUAACGGUACCCAGGCUAUAUACACAGGGGGUACCGGUAAACAGGCUAUAUACACAGGGGGUACACAGGGGGUACCCAGGCUAUAUACACUGGGGGUAACGGUUAGUUGAGGUAAUGUGUACAUGUAGGUAGAGGUAAAGACUAGACAACAGGAUAGAUAAUAGACAGUAACAGCAGUGUUGGUAGUAGGGUAGGUAAUAUAAUGUAGGUAGGGGUAAAGACUAGACAACAGGAUAGAUAAUAGACAGUAACAGCAGUGUUGGUAGUAGGGUAGGUAAUAUAAUGUAGGUAGAGGUAAAGACUAGACAACAGGAUAGAUAAUAGACAGUAACAGCAGUGUUGGUAGUAGGGUAGGUAAUAUAAUGUAGGUAGGGGUAAAGACUAGACAACAGGAUAGAUAAUAGACAGUAACAGCAGUGUUGGUAGUAGGGUAGGUAAUAUAAUGUAGGUAGAGGUAAAGACUAGACAACAGGAUAGAUAAUAGACAGUAACAGCAGUGUUGGUAGUAGGGUAGGUAAUAUAAUGUAGGUAGAGGUAAAGACUAGACAACAGGAUAGAUAAUAGACAGUAACAGCAGUGUUGGUAGUAGGGUAGGUAAUAUAAUGUAGGUAGGGGUAAAGACUAGACAACAGGAUAGAUAAUAGACAGUAACAGCAGUGUUGGUAGUAGGGUAGGUAAUAUAAUGUAGGUAGGGGUAAAGACUAGACAACAGGAUAGAUAAUAGACAGUAACAGCAGUGUUGGUAGUAGGGUAGGUAAUAUAAUGUAGGUAGGGGUAAAGACUAGACAACAGGAUAGAUAAUAGACAGUAACAGCAGUGUUGGUAGUAGGGUAGGUAAUAUAAUGUAGGUAGGGGUAAAGACUAGACAACAGGAUAGAUAAUAGACAGUAACAGCAGUGUUGGUAGUAGGGUAGGUAAUAUAAUGUAGGUAGGGGUAAAGACUAGACAACAGGAUAGAUAAUAGACAGUAACAGCAGUGUUGGUAGUAGGGUAGGUAAUAUAAUGUAGGUAGGGGUAAAGACUAGACAACAGGAUAGAUAAUAGACAGUAACAGCAGUGUUGGUAGUAGGGUAGGUAAUAUAAUGUAGGUAGGGGUAAAGACUAGACAACAGGAUAGAUAAUAGACAGUAACAGCAGUGUUGGUAGUAGGGUAGGUAAUAUAAUGUAGGUAGAGGUAAAGACUAGACAACAGGAUAGAUAAUAGACAGUAACAGCAGUGUUGGUAGUAGGGUAGGUAAUAUAAUGUAGGUAGAGGUAAAGACUAGACAUGGAGUAGACCCAUGUAGAGACGGGAGCUACUGUAUGACACACUCAAAGGCAGACACGCAUUCACACACACUACACACACACACACACACACACUACAUACACACACACAGUACAAUGCAGUGGAAGGAAGCUAUGACUCAAUCAGGGUUGGGGAGUAACUGAUUUAUAUGUAAUAUAUAUUAUAUGUGAUCAGUUAUGUCAUACUUUUUGCGUUGAACAAAAAUAUAAACACACAUGUCAGGUGUUGGUCCCAUGAGCUGAAAUAAAAGAUGCCGGAAAUUUUACAUACGCACAAAAAAUGUAUUGCACAAAUUAGUUUACAUCCCUGUUAGUGAGCAUUUCUCCUUUGCCAAGAUAAUCCAUCCAUCUGACAGGUGUGGCAUAUCAAUAAGAUGAUUAAACAGCAUGAUCAUUACACAGGUGCACCUUGUGCUGGGGACAAUAAAAGGAGACUCUAAAAUGUGCAGUUUUGUCACAACACAAUUCCACAGAUGUGUCAAGUUCUGAAGGUGCUAUUUGUAUACUGACUGCAGGAAUGCCCACCAGAGCUAUUGCCAAAUAAUUGAAUGGUCAUUUCUCUACCAUAAACCACCUCCAUUGUUGUUUUAGAGCUUUUGCCAGUACAUCCAACCAGCCUCACAACAGUACCGGUCAGAAGCAUUCCAUGUGACUACCUCAAAGCUGGUUGAGAGAAUGCAAAGCUGUCAUCAAGGCAAAGGGUGGCUAUUUGAAGAAUCUCACAUGUAAAUAUAUUUAG